GGAAUAAGGGCCGAAUGAAAAGAGGACCGGGGGAUCGGGCGAUACCUAGUCGGGGGACCAAGCUCAGGCCAGCGUCAUAGAGAGCUUGUUCGGUAACAAGCUCCCUCUGCUUUGGAACCGACAUGUCUUUGAGUCGGUGGAAGUCCUCCCGGUCGUCCGCCUCCACCCGGCUGUUGUCAUUUGCUUCGGUUCGGGGCACGCCCCAGUGGGAAGGGAAGCCCCAGGGA
rnacentral:lncRNA from 1 species